rnacentral:rRNA from 1 species
UACGUAGGGUGCGAGCGUUAAUCGGAAUUACUGGGCGUAAAGCGUGCGCAGGCGGUUCUCCAAGUCCGUUGUGAAAGCCCCGGGCUCAACCUGGGAAUGGCAGUGGAAACUAGGGGACUGGAAUCUGGCAGAGGGGGGUGGAAUGCCGCGUGUAGCAGUGAAAUGCGUAGAGAUGCGGCGGAACACCGAUGGCGAAGGCAGCCCCCUGGGCUGAGAUUGACGCUCAGGCACGAAGCGUGGGAGCAAACAGG